ACCAGUGUUCUCUAAUCCUACCUGAUUCUGCAAAGUGCCACUUGACUGGAACUUUUCACCUGAUUGAUUUCUGCACCCACCAUGACUGAGAUCACAGCUGAAGGAAAUGCAUCUAUAACCACAACUGUGAUAGACAACAAAAAUGGAUCUGUUCCCAAGUCCCCUGGAAAGGUGCUGAAGAGGACUGUCACCGAAGACAUCGUGACAACAUUCAGCUCCCCUGCAGCCUGGCUUCUGGUCAUCGCCCUGAUUAUCACCUGGUCAGCUGUUGCUAUUGUGAUGUUUGAUUUAGUGGACUACAAAAACUUUUCAGCAAGCUCCAUCGCCAAGAUUGGCUCUGAUCCUCUAAAACUAGUGAACGAUGCUGUGGAGGAAACAACAGACUGGAUCUAUGGCUUCUUCUCUUUGCUAUCUGAUAUCAUCUCAUCUGAUGGUGAUGAAGAUGAUGAGGAUGCAGAUGAGGACAUUGACAAAGGAGAAAUAGAAGAACCUCCCUUAAAAAGAAAAGAAAUACAAAAAGAGAAGGCUGAAAAGCAGGAGAAACCUGAGAAGAAAAUACAAACUAAAGUUUCGCACAGAGAAAAGGAGAAAGGAAAAGAAAAAUUAAAAGGAGAAAAACCUGAGAAGAAAGCAACUCACAAGGAGAAACUUGAGAAAAAAGAAAGAACAGAGACAAAGAUGGCAGCAAAAGAGGACAAGAAAAUUAAGACUAAGGAAAAGACCGAAGAAAAGGCUAAGAAGGAAAUGAAAGUUGGGAAACAGGAGAAAGCGAAACCAGCAGCUGCAAAAGCCAAAGAAACUCCGAAAACAACACCGAAAGCCAGAGAGAAGGAUGACAAAGAAACGCCAGCUGUGCCCAAGCAUGAGCAGAAAGAUCAGUAUGCGUUCUGUCGAUAUAUGAUUGACAUGUUUGUCCAUGGGGAUUUAAAACCAGGACAAAGCCCAGCUGUGCCACCACCAUCAUUGACAGCUUCCAGACCUGCUUUGUCAACACCAUCACUGGAAGAAAAAGAAAAAGAAGAAAAGAAGAAAGUGGAGAAGAAAGUUACUUCUGAUACAAAAAAGAAAGAAAAAGGAGAAGCCAAAAAGAAAAGCGAGAAAGAAACUGUCAUUGAUGGGAAAGGAAAAGAGCCAGGAAAACCUCCUGAAACAAAACAAACAACCACCAAACUCACAACACAAGCUGCAGCUACCAAAGAUGAGAAGAAAGAAGAUUCCAAGAAAAUGAAAAAACCUCCAGAAGAGAAACCCAAGGGAAAAAAACAGGAAAAGAAAGAAAAGCACAUAGAAACAGCAAAGACACCAAAAAAGGAACAUCCAGCUCCAAGUGAAAAACACAGAAAAGCAAAAGCUGAGCAAGCCAAAGAAGAGAUUGCUCCUGCCUCAACAAAAAAGGCCCUGCAUGGAAAGAAAGAAGAGAAAGCCAAGACAGUGGAGCAAGGCAAAGAUGUAAAGCCUAAACUACCACAGCCACAACUAAAAAAGGAAGAGAAGUCCGAGCCACAACCAAAAAAAGAAGUGAAGUUGGAGACACAACUAAAAAAAGAAGAGAAGUCAGAGCCUCAAGUUAAGAAGGAAGCAAAACUAGCAUCAUCUGAAAAAGGCCAAACACGCAAACAGAACAUCACCAGACCAGAGCAAGUUAUUCCUCAUGGUAAACCAGAACAAAAAGUUCCCAAACAGAUAAAAGCUAUUACAGCAGAAAAGACAGAAAAAGCUGAACGCCAAGAAAAAUACCAUCCAUCUAUAAAAACAGAGGGAAAACCAGAAGUCACAGACUCAGGGAAGAAGAAAAUUGAAAAACCUGAAAAGGAAAGUAAAGUUCCACCAAAACAAGAAAAUCUUCAGGUGCGCAAUGUGACUAGAGCGGAAAAACGUGGAAAAAUAUCAAAAGAUUCCAAAGAUGCACCAGCUCCAAAGAAAGAUAAAGACUCCAAAGAUGUCCUGCAUUCAAAGAAAGAUAAAGAAGUAACUAAUAAUGUGUCUUCACCAAAGAAGCAAAAAAGUCCCAUCAGUUUCUUCCAAUGUGUCUACUUGGAUGGGUACAAUGGCUAUGGAUUUCAGUUUCCUGUCACUCCUGUCCAACACCCUGGAGAGAACCCUGGCAAAUCAAACUCUCCAGGACAGAAGCAGCAAGAACAAUAGACACCCAUACAUGACCCUGACAACUGCUUUUACAUCAUGAAAGUGGAAUCUUCUCUUUUGUUCACAGUGGCACGGGCAGUCAAAACUAACCAGUGCUGAGAUUUCAUUGUAAACAUUUUGCCUGGCAUAAAGAAAUAGCAUGGACAAAAGGGUUGACUAAUAAGCAAAUGUGUUGAGGGUCUAAUACUUGAGAAUCUUUAUUUGUGUCUGUUGCUAUAGGAGGGGUACUUACAUUCAGCUCUUUCUAGUCGUUAUAAGGUAGUAAUCUCAUUAAAGUUUACUUUUAAAUGUAAUUGGCACAAUUACAAAAUGAGAUUUAUGACUUCAGGUAGAUAAUUUUUAAUUUGGUUAUAUAGACUGUGUUCUAAUUUUAAAUAGUACAGGAGCAUAUAUAAAAGUUAUUCUUCUGCAUCCUGUGGGUAGACUCAGUUUACCCAAAAACCUAUGUGCGUUAUUACAUUCAUUUCUGUUUCCAGUUCUAUUGUGUCAAGACUCUACAUAGGUGUGUCUUACACCAGAGUGCUCUAAAUCCCUUGUCAUAUCUAACAGAUGGGACAUGACAAAGAAUAAGUACUUGUUGGAUCUUAUCUCUGAGGUUGUCUUGAGCUAUGCUUAAGACAUUCUCUCUUAUGGACAUAUACUUGCAGUUAAGCAGGUCUGGUAAACCACUUGCUUAAUAUGCAAGUUAAUGAGAUAUGAAAUUUUCACAUUUCUCCAGAUUGUGCCCCAGUAAAUCCAUCACCUGGGUGAAGGUUUAGAUCAAACAUUAACUAUGGUUGACAAAUACAAACAUAGUUUUAUUUCUCAAUACAUUCUUUCUGUGAGAGUAAAUUUUUUUUCAAAUGGAAACAAUACAAAUUCCAUAAAUGUUUAAGCGAGAUAUUUUGGGCCUAGGCAUGUUUAUGAGAUGCCUUUCUUUUGGCUGAUUGAACAUUAACACCAGUUAAAUGAAUGGCAGUUUCUAAUAUACGUGUCCAGGCAUCACUGAAAAUAACAUCUUCUUGGUAAUACAAACACUCGAUUUUAAUGAACUUUUCUUAUCAACUCUAGAAAACAUGACUGUACUUUUUCUUCAAGUUUCCAGUUGUAGCUGAACUUGUGACAAAUUAACAAGUUCAACUCAUGGAAAUAACUUGAGUUACCAUUUCUGGCAUUAUCAGAAGCUCAGCCAAUGCUGAGCUACUGACUUUGUGAGCAAGCUGUGUGGUUGGUCUUAAAGUACUACAGCCAAACACAGUUCUUGAGGUCCAAGACAAAGGUUCAUUUUAUCAAUAUUCAGGUAAGAUGUAGAUCAGAUACAUCAUUAGUAUUAAUGAUGGAAUGUUGGUGACUCUUGUAAGAAAGUCAGCUUCAACCAGAUGCUGACAGACUGGAUUCACACUACAGAAACCAACACUACAAUGAACUAGUUUAAUGGAGCCAUUUGGAGGGGAAGGAGUACAUAAUUGACCAGAGCAAAUGAUACCAUCUUUCAAAACACUUCAUUCAGCAAUUCAAACUCACAAGGAGAACAGUGGAUAAAGCGCUCUACUUAGUUGGAGUUUCACCCAUGCAAGUUCCUGAGUAUGGAACAGAGAACAAAUGUGACAGUUGUUUUAAAAGACAUGCUACAGAAUGGGUUAUCCACUAAGUUAUUACCUUUCAAUGACUAUAUACUAAGCUCUUAGUCUUUCUAUUCUGUGUCAGAUAAUACAGCAAAAGGUUUUACUUCAUGCUACACUGGCACAGUAAAUGACAUUCAAAAAUGCAUUAUAUAUAUAUAUAUAUAUAUAUAUAUAUAUAUAUAUAUAUAUAUAUAUAUAUAUAUAUUGGGUCUGUAUCUCCAGGUUACCAGGAACCAUCAAAACAAACAGCUCAGAGUUGUUUUGGAGACAGAUAAAGUGUCUUAAUAUGGAUUUGUUUGAAAACACUUUCUGAAAUUAUGGUUUUGGAGAUUACAUUAAUCUUAUCUCCACCAAUUUCGAAAUAUCCAUCUAUUUUCUUUAUGAAACAAAUUGACAAAAUAUAAGAGAUGUUACUAUAAAUUUAGAUGUUAGAGAAAACAAUUAUGGUAUAAUUAAUAUUAACAAUAAUUAUUACAUUUUGUCUAAAAUUUCAAUGUUGAGUAUAAUUUGAAAAUAUUAUCCAAACUGGCAUCUGUUUGUAUCUUUACAUUAAUAAAAUACUUCUGACCCCUG
rnacentral:lncRNA from 1 species